rnacentral:rRNA from 1 species
GUCUUAUUGAAAAUAAUUUUAAGUCUAAUCUGCCCAAUGAAAAUUUUAAUGGCUGCAGUAUCAAUAACUGUACAAAGGUAGCAUAAUAAUUAGUUUUUUAAUUAAAAACUAGAAUGAAAGAUUAAAUGAAAUAUAAACUUUAUAAAUAAAAUAAAAAUUAAAAUUAAAUUUUAAGUUAAAAUUCUUAAAUAUAAUUAAAAGACGAGAAGACCCUUUAGAAUUUUAUAUUAAUUUAAAUUAAAAUUAAAAUAUUAUUUAUAUAAAUUUAAACUAAUAUUUAAUUGGGGUAAUUUUUUAAUUUAAUAAACUUUAAAAUAAUAAAACAUUAAUUUAUGAAUUUAUAAACCUAAAAUUUAGAAUUUUAAAAUAAAUUACCUUAGGGAUAACAGCGUAAUUUUUUUUGAAAGUUCACAUUUAUAAAAAAGAUUGCGACCUCGAUGUUGAAUUAAGAUUAAAUUAAAAGCAAAAAUUUAAUAAUUUAAGUCU